ACUGCGGAGGACAUUAGUGAGUGUUGGGCCGGCGUGAAAGCGCUCGCCUUGACCCACACAUCCUUUACACCUGUGCACCUGUCGGUUGGCGAGUCUCUUGCCUUCAAACGUUAAACACUUACCAAACAAACCGAGUCAAAAAUGUGAAACUAUCGUAACCUAUGAAAACUUUCAACAAUGGAUCUCUUGGCUCUUGCAUCGAUGAAGAACGCAGCGAAAUGCGAUAAGUAAUGUGAAUUGCACAAUUCAGUGAAUCAUCGAAUCUUUGAACGCACCUUGCGCUCCUUGGUAUUCCGAGGAGCAUGCCUGUUUGAGUGUCAUGAAAUCAUCAACCAACGCCUUGGUUUUCAAUCCAGGGGUCUGGCUUGGACUUGGGUGUCUUGCCUUGACUUUUGUCUGAAGGCUCACCUUGAAAGUGUUAGUGGAUCCCGUCGACCGUGACAUGGUUUGACUUGGCGUGAUAAGUAUUUCGCUGAGGACAUCCCCCGUGGAUGGCCAUGUUGCUUGACUUAGUGUCUGCUCCCUAAACCCCUCUCCUCCGGGAGAACUUCUUUGACAUCUGGCCUCAAAUCAGGUAGGACUACCCGCUGAACUUAAGCAUAUCAAUAAGCGGAGGAAAAGAAACUAACAAGGAUUCCCCUAGUAACGGCGAGUGAAGCGGGAAAAGCUCACAUUUGAAAUCUGGUGGUCUUCGGCCUCCCGAGUUGUAAUCUAGAGAAGUGUCUUCCGUGCCGGCUCAUGCCCAAGUGCCUUGGAACAGGCCAUCAUAGAGGGUGAGAAUCCCGUCCUUGGCAUGAACUACCGGUGCUCUGUGAUGCACUUUCGACGAGUCGAGUUGUUUGGGAAUGCAGCUCAAAAGAGUGGUAAAUUCCAUCUAUGGCUAAAUAUUGGCAGAGACCGAUAGCGAACAACUACCGUGAGAUGUCUAUCAUCCCUUGCCUACAUUACCUUGCGAGGACGAGAUACCGCCUCUGCAGGAACCUGGCCUAUUGAUCUAUCAGCCCACUCCGUCUUGGAAACCGGAACAGGGAUCUAGGAUUCGCCCGAAGUGUUGGAGUAAACGCCACGCUAUGAAGGUACGUAGUCAGCUCGCAAUACUCAACAGAUUCGAGUUCCAGCAUGAUAGGCUAGCUCUGGAACCGAACUGGUGACUAUGAACUGCUA
rnacentral:rRNA from 1 species